UACGUAGGGUGCAAGCGUUGUCCGGAAUUAUUGGGCGUAAAGAGCUCGUAGGCGGUUUGUCGCGUCUGCUGUGAAAACCCGAGGCUCAACCUCGGGCCUGCAGUGGGUACGGGCAGACUAGAGUGCGGUAGGGGAGAUUGGAAUUCCUGGUGUAGCGGUGAAAUGCGCAGAUAUCAGGAGGAACACCAAUGGCGAAGGCAGCUCGCUGGGACGGUACUGACGCUGAGGCGCGAAAGCGUGGGGAGCAAACAGG
rnacentral:rRNA from 1 species